GAAAUCGUGUCCUGUUGCGAUUUCUCGAUUUCUCCUCGCCUCUUCCUCCUCUGCUCCUCCGGCAAGUCACGAGCCAUCCCCGACGCCGGCCGCCGCCGCUCCGCAUCAGCGCCGUCCCUCGCCGCCCUUCCGCACCAGCGCCUACCCUCACCGAUCCGGUGAUCCCCAUCCCCUAGAAACCCUAGCCCACAGCGCCGCCCUCACUCCACCUCUCCUGUGCGUACGCAUCUCACGAGCCGAGCGCCGCUGCCUCCUACUCGCCCCCUUUCCGUCCGUCUGCCUCCUUCCUUUCCGGUGCGCUCGACCCGGCGGGCCAGCGGUUGAGCUUGGCGCAGCACUCGAGUGGGAUGGCCGGCCGAGCGCUGGGGUUGGACUCCGCUGGCAUAGUGGUCGAUCCCAUCCGUCGCCGUCAACAUAGCUGCAUAAUCAGUUGGGCGAUUUUUGUUUGAUGUCCAUAGCUAAUCCUAGAAUUAGAAUUGUUCUUCGGUGAUUUUGUUCUUCGUUGAUCCUGUGAGUCUAUUAAUAUAUGAAAAACCAUAAGUGCGGUUGAUAAGGAACCUUGAGAAAGCUUGAUCUGUUGCUCAAAAACAUCCAGGACUACCACAAGCAUGUUCUGCUGGUACUGUACAGUGUACACAGACCUUGGCUGUAGGUACCUACGUUUUUUUUUUUAGAGAAGGGUAUUUUUUACCCAGCCUCUAUAUUCAACCGGAUAUAUACGGCCAUUGAAAUAGGGAACUUAGCCCCACAAACAACCCAAUCUGAAAUUCGCUCCAUAGAAGAUUUGAACUCAGGACCUUGGGGUACUACUCAGGUCACUGUAACCACUAGGCUGUAGGUACCUACUGAUCUUUCAGUAUCUAAUGCAGAAAGUGAAAGUGUUCCCAUCCAAAGUCAUUUACCAUAUGGUCAUUGAUUUCUGUAGAUGGAUUAUUUACUGCCCUCCUUAUUGCUGCCCUUUCUUGCUUCUCGAUAUUAUUUGUUCAUAUCAUUGUUUUGUUCUAUUUAUUUCUUUUUGCAGAUGUUAUUGAAAAAAUUAUUGCUGUCUCCAUCUCCAAUGCAGCAAUGAUAUCUACAAGUUCAUCAGAUUUUAGGAUGAGAAGAUUAGAGCCUAUAUUAUCCAAUAAAAUAAGAGCUCAUCUUCACAAAUGGAGUCACCUCAAGAUAUUCGGAUAAUGAUAGUUGAGCCAUGUCAUUUGGACACAACCAACAUCUUAAGCAAACAAACCUAUGAAAACAACAAUAAUCUGGUACACAACUGCACAUAUUUCUUUUUUAAAUAUACUGACGAGACAAGGAAAAUAUCCAUGUAACUGUAGAUAUCUUUUGGGAAAGGUAUACUAACAUAUCAUGAUUCCUCUUUGCUUCUCUAUUCUAUUACAGUGAACAUUGCAGGGUGUGGUGGUCUAAUUAUGUUCAGCUAAUAAGUCAUGGUAGACUUUUAUAAGUAUCCUUAAAAUUUGGAAUAUUCAGCGAAAGAAUCAUAUAUAUGACCCUUAUAACUACACCUUUAUGCACCAGGUAAUUCCACACACUUACUCUCUUUGAAUAGUUCUCAUAUAUUUAAUAGCUUGAUGUUUCAAGCGUGAGAAAAAACUUGGAUUUUCUGGACAAAAAAAAGCUAUAUACUUGUAUGCAUUGUGGUUGAUGUUGUCUUUGACUUACUAAUGGCAAACAUGAUUACAUGUUCUUGGAACUAAUUUUGAGUCAUGACUGAGCAGGGUAAUGUAUAUGCUGUAGUAAGAAUUGCAUUUAUUCGAGAUAGAGUAUACAGGUAUAUCCUAGAGUAAGAAUUGCAUUGCUGAUCUAACGAAAAAAAAAUUAUUUGACACGUUCUUUGUACUUUGAAUCAAUGAUGUUAAGCUUUUUUUGUAUACCACAAAUGUGCCUUGCAUGCUCUCUACAAUUAUAUGACAGUAACAAACUAGAGAAGAUGUUUGGGGUUUGCCUGUUGUGUUCACUGGAAUGAUUUUGUAGUUGAAAGUAAAUUUGAAGCUUUCAUAUAUAAGCAAGCUGUGAUGAUUCUUUAUAUAAUCUUAGUAUUAUGAAAUUUAACUGUUUGGCACAACCUUGUUGUCCUUGAGUCCUGAAAACUCCAGCAAAAUAUUGUUGUGAUUAGAAUUAGGUACAGGCAUCUGAUUAAGUUAUUGUAAAUCACAUCCACCAUCUGAUUUGGUGAAGGUAUCCCUAAAACAAACAACAUGGAUACAAAUUAAUCACCUUACAAAGGAUGAUUCCUCUAUCUUCACAGAGAAUGAUUCCUCUUAUCUUUACAAAGUUAAAAAAAAAAUACAUCACUUGCAGCAAAAAGAGUUUCUUCUCUACAUAGUUCAAAUAUAUUAUGCUGAAGAACAUUAUUAUAUAGUACAAUUUAUAUACUUUGGAGUCAUAUAUUAGUUUUGUGAAACAAUGAAGCAAAUGUAAUCCAUCUAAUAAAAUGUUUUAUGAUACCAUUUACUUAUUAUUUAUAUUAUUGCUUUUCUCAGUAUUUACUAUUAUAAAGGAUGUUGAUUCACUGUUUCUUAACUGCCUUAAUUUUCUAGGUUUUUACUUUAGAUGUUCCAUGACAACCAUAUAAUCAUUCAAUAUAUUACAUAAAUAUUUAUACUAUUAUUAUCCCAGAAAAGUAGUAGUGAAGAAGAGUAGAAAACACUGAUUAUCAUUUGAUUCAAACAAACAGUAAAUAAGCGCUCUGCCUGAUAACAUAUCCGAUAAAAACUGCAUACUUUUGUUAUAUGGAUUAUGCACAGCACUAACUUUUGGUGUAUUUAUAGCAGAUGCAUUACAUGUCCAUCGAGAAAAGCGACGAUUCAAAACCUAUACUCAUCUAGCUAGCUUAAUUUAUUAGAAAAUUGAAAUAGGGCUUUAUCAAAAGCUUUGAUCAUUUCAGGUCCUGAACAAUGUAUGUCUAUAUAAUAGACAGUUUAUAUUUAUAUAUUCAAUAAUCUACAAUAUGUCUAAGUACUAGACUAAAGUAAUGCAAAAUUAUGGUUACCUACUAUUGAGAUGGCUCUCAUAAAGUUCCAGUUUAGAUGUUCAAUUAUCAUUGAUUAAUCAAUUGCCGGCUUUAUCUAUUUACAUGCUGAAGUACUCCACUGUACUCAUUUCAAUGACUUUGUCAUAUACAUGUAACAUUUUAUUACAAUUUGUUCC